AAAUGUAUAGCUCAAGUGGUAGAGUGCAUGCUUACCAAACACAAGGUCCUGGGUUCAAUCCCCAGUACCUCUU
rnacentral:tRNA from 1 species